UACGUAGGGGGCAAGCGUUGUCCGGAAUCAUUGGGCGUAAAGCGCGUGUAGGCGGCUCGGUAAGUCCGCUCUGAAAGCCCGGGGCUCAACCCCGGGAGGCGGGUGGAUACUGCCGAGCUAGAGUCCGGAAGAGGCGAGUGGAAUUCCUGGUGUAGCGGUGAAAUGCGCAGAUAUCAGGAGGAACACCAAUUGCGAAGGCAGCUCGCUGGGACGUAACUGACGCUGAUGCGCGAAAGCGUGGGGAGCAAACAGG
rnacentral:rRNA from 1 species